UCCGGUUUGUCACCGGCAGUCCCAUUAGAGUGCUCAACUGAAUGUGGCAACUAAUGGCAAGGGUUGCGCUCGUUGCGGGACUUAACCCAACAUCUCACGACACGAGCUGACGACAGCCAUGCAGCACCUGUCCCACUGUCCAUUGCUGGAAUUCCCCCAUCUCUGAAGGCGAUCAGUGAAUGUCAAGAGCUGGUAAGGUUCUUCGCGUUGCGUCGAAUUAAACCACAUGCUCCACCGCUUGUGCGGGCCCCCGUCAAUUCCUAUGAGUUUUAACCUUGCGGCCGUACUCCCCAGGCGGGAUGCUUAAUGCGUUAGCUGCGCCACCGACAAGCAAGCUUGCCGACGGCUAGCAUCCAUAGUUUACGGCGUGGACUAC
rnacentral:misc_RNA from 1 species